rnacentral:rRNA from 1 species
GGAUUAGUGGCGAACGGGUGAGUAACACGUGGGCAAUCUGCCCUUCACUCUGGGANAGCCCUGGAAACGGGGUCUAAUACCGGAUAACACUCUGUCCCGCAUGGGACGGGGUUGAAAGCUCCGGCGGUGAAGGAUGAGCCCGCGGCCUAUCAGCUUGUUGGUGGGGUAAUGGCCUACCAAGGCGACGACGGGUAGCCGGCCUGAGAGGGCGACCGGCCACACUGGGACUGAGACACGGCCCAGACUCCUACGGGAGGCAGCAGUGGGGAAUAUUGCACAAUGGGCGAAAGCCUGAUGCAGCGACGCCGCGUGAGGGAUGACGGCCUUCGGGUUGUAAACCUCUUUCAGCAGGGAAGAAGCGAAAGUGACGGUACCUGCAGAAGAAGCGCCGGCUAACUACGUGCCAGCAGCCGCGGUAAUACGUAGGGCGCAAGCGUUGUCCGGAAUUAUUGGGCGUAAAGAGCUCGUAGGCGGCUUGUCACGUCGGAUGUGAAAGCCCGGGGCUUAACCCCGGGUCUGCAUUCGAUACGGGCUAGCUAGAGUGUGGUAGGGGAGAUCGGAAUUCCUGGUGUAGCGGUGAAAUGCGCAGAUAUCAGGAGGAACACCGGUGGCGAAGGCGGAUCUCUGGGCCAUUACUGACGCUGAGGAGCGAAAGCGUGGGGAGCGAACAGGAUUAGAUACCCUGG